UUGCAUCCACUGAUAGACCUGAAGCAGCUUCUUUGGCUUCUUGGUUUGCAUAGAGAUGCUAAACUGAGCUUUCCUCGUGAUUUCUGACUGCUACAUUCUAUAGCAGCACCGAAUGAACUGAGGAAUACAUGC
rnacentral:snoRNA from 1 species